UACAGAGGUCUCGAGCGUUGUUCGGAUUCAUUGGGCGUAAAGGGUGCGUAGGUGGCGCGCUAAGUCAGGUGUGAAAUUUCGGAGCUUAACUCCGAAACUGCAUUUGAUACUGGCGUGCUUGAGGACUGGAGAGGAGACUGGAAUUCAUGGUGUAGCAGUGAAAUGCGUAGAGAUCAUGAGGAAGACCAGUGGCGAAGGCGGGUCUCUGGACAGUUCCUGACACUGAGACACGGAAGGCCCAGGGGGAGCAAACGGG
rnacentral:rRNA from 1 species